rnacentral:rRNA from 1 species
GGAAUUUUGCGCAAUGGGGGCAACCCUGACGCAGCAACGCCGCGUGGAGGAAGAAGGCCCUCGGGUUGUAAACUCCUGUCCUUGGGGAAGAUGGUGACGGUACCCUUGGAGGAAGCCCCGGCUAACUCCGUGCCAGCAGCCGCGGUAAAACGUAGGGGGCCAGCGUUGCUCGGAAUUACUGGGCGUAAAGGGUCUGUAGGCGGUGUGGUAAGUCCGGAGUGAAAUCUCCAGGCUCAACUUGGAGGCUGCUUCGGAAACUGCUGUGCUCGAGUGUGGGAGAGGCGCGUGGAAUUGCAGGUGUAGCGGUGAAAUGCGUAGAUAUCUGCAGGAACACCAGUGGCGAAAGCGGCGCGCUGGACCACAACUGACGCUGAGAGACGAAAGCUAGGGGAGCA